rnacentral:tRNA from 1 species
GGAGUUGUGGCUCAGCGUAAGAGCACUCGCCUUGCACAUGCGAGGCCCUGAGUUCAAUCCUCAACACCA